CAACCACGGUCGUCGCGACGCAAGCCGGAACCGGGGACCCUCGCAGUCCCUUGGGGUGAAUCGGUGCUUCGGCACCGUAGGGCGCCUUCUUCCGCCCGAACCCGUCAGCUAACCCGGUAGGCGGCCGAGGAAGGAGAC
rnacentral:sRNA from 2 species